rnacentral:rRNA from 1 species
CCUACGGGAGGCAGCAGUGAGGAAUAUUGGUCAAUGGGCGAGAGACUGAACCAGCCAAGUCGCGUGAGGGAGGACUGCACUAUGGGUUGUAAACCUCUUUUGUCGGGGAGCAAAAGCCGGACGUGUUCGGCUGUGAGAGUACCCGGAGAAAAAGCAUCGGCAAACUCCGUGCCAGCCGCCGCGGUAAUACGGAGGAUGCGAGCGUUAUCCGGAUUUAUUGGGUUUAAAGGGUGCGCAGGCGGAUUUUUAAGUCAGCGGUCAAAUCGUGGGGCUCAACCCCAUCCAGCCGUUGAAACUGGGGGUCUAGAGUGUGCGAGAGGUAUGCGGAAUGCGUGGUGUAGCGGUGAAAUGCAUAGAUAUCGCGCAGAACCCCGAUUGCGAAGGCAGCAUACCGGUGCACAACUGACGCUCAGGCACGAAAGCGUGGGUAUCGAACAGGAUUAGAUACCCGUGUAGUC